AUGGACCACGCGGCGGAGGCGCAGCGGACGGACCUGAUGACGAUCACGCGGCACGCGCUGAACGAGCAGGGCCGGCACCCGGAGUCCCGGGGCGACUUCACCAUCCUCCUCUCCCACAUCGUCCUCGGCUGCAAGUUCGUCGCCUCCGCCGUCAACAAGGCCGGCCUCGCCAAGCUCAUCGGCCUCGCCGGGGAGACCAACGUCCAGGGCGAGGAGCAGAAGAAGCUGGACGUGCUCUCCAACGAGGUCUUUGUCAAGGCGCUUGUCAGCAGCGGCCGCACUUGUGUCCUCGUGUCUGAAGAGAACGAGGCGGCCAUCUUCGUCGACGCGCCCCUCCGCGGAAAGUACUGCGUGUGCUUCGAUCCCUUGGACGGCUCCUCCAACAUCGACUGCGGCGUCUCCAUCGGGACGAUCUUCGGGAUCUACAUGAUCAAAGACAAGGACAACGCGACCCUGGAGGACGUGCUGCAACCCGGGACCGACAUGAUCGCCGCUGGCUACUGCAUGUACGGGAGCUCAUGCACGCUUGUCCUAAGCACUGGAAACGGUGUAAAUGGCUUCACCCUUGAUCCUUCCCUCGGGGAGUUCAUACUUACCCAUCCCAACAUAAAGAUACCAAACAAAGGGAAGAUCUACUCGGUCAAUGAAGGGAACGCCAGAAACUGGGACGCGCCCACUGCAAAGUACGCAGAGAGAUGCAAGUUUCCCCAAGACGGCUCAUCGCCAAAAUCCCUGAGAUAUAUCGGAAGCAUGGUUGCGGAUGUUCAUCGUACCCUGCUCUACGGAGGCAUAUUUCUGUACCCCGCCGACAAGAAGAGCCCCAGCGGAAAGGUUCGUGUUCUGUACGAGGAUUUCCCCAUGUCGUUCCUGAUGGAGCAAGCCGGAGGCCAGUCUUUCACCGGCAAACAGCGGGCCCUUGAAAUUGUUCCUUCUGAGAUACACCAGAGGUCUCCGAUAUUCCUCGGGAGCUACGAUGAUGUGGAGGAGAUUAAAUCAUUGUAUGCUUCGGAGUCGAGCACCGCCUGA
rnacentral:rRNA from 1 species